UUCCCAUUCUGAUGUUUUCUCUCUCUCUCUCUUUUUUUUCUUUCCCUUCCCAAAUUCAGUGUUGAAAUGCAGCUUUCACUCACGGGAAGGAGGUCAAAAUCUGAAGGAAAUACUUCAAAAGUGUGGAAAGCAAAACUGUUCUCUCAAGCCCAUCUGCUGGAUAUGAUUAGUCUGUGGACAUUUUUCCCUCCAAAUUUUCAGCUCCUUAUGUGUUCCCCCACUAUAGUUUUUGUGGUGGGUGGAGUUAAGCCAGCGGUGGAAGUGAAGAGAACAUUCCUUACUAUAGCCUAA
rnacentral:lncRNA from 1 species